rnacentral:rRNA from 1 species
GACGAACGCUGGCGGCGUGCCUAAUACAUGCAAGUAGAACGCACAGUUUAUACCGUAGCUUGCUACACCAUAGACUGUGAGUUGCGAACGGGUGAGUAACGCGUAGGUAACCUGCCUGGUAGCGGGGGAUAACUAUUGGAAACGAUAGCUAAUACCGCAUAAUAUUGAUUAUUGCAUGAUAAUUGAUUGAAAGAUGCUAUUGCAUCACUACCAGAUGGACCUGCGUUGUAUUAGCUAGUAGGUGAGGUAACGGCUCACCUAGGCGACGAUACAUAGCCGACCUGAGAGGGUGAUCGGCCACACUGGGACUGAGACACGGCCCAGACUCCUACGGGAGGCAGCAGUAGGGAAUCUUCGGCAAUGGACGAAAGUCUGACCGAGCAACGCCGCGUGAGUGAAGAAGGUUUUCGGAUCGUAAAGCUCUGUUGUAAGAGAAGAACGGGUGUGAGGGUGGAAAGUUCACACUGUGACGGUAUCUUACCAGAAAGGGACGGCUAACUACGUG